rnacentral:rRNA from 1 species
GACGAACGCUGGCGGCGUGCUUAACACAUGCAAGUCGAGCGAUGAAGCUUCCUUCGGGAAGUGGAUUAGCGGCGGACGGGUGAGUAACACGUGGGUAACCUGCCUCAUAGAGGGGAAUAGCCUUCCGAAAGGAAGAUUAAUACCGCAUAAGAUUGUAGUUCCGCAUGGAACAGCAAUUAAAGGAGUAAUCCGCUAUGAGAUGGACCCGCGUCGCAUUAGCUAGUUGGUGAGGUAACGGCUCACCAAGGCGACGAUGCGUAGCCGACCUGAGAGGGUGAUCGGCCACAUUGGGACUGAGACACGGCCCAGACUCCUACGGGAGGCAGCAGUGGGGAAUAUUGCACAAUGGGGGAAACCCUGAUGCAGCAACGCCGCGUGAGUGAUGACGGUCUUCGGAUUGUAGAACUCUGUCUUUGGGGACGAUAAUGACGGUACCCAAGGAGGAAGCCACGGCUAACUACGUGCCAGCAGCCGCGGUAACAC